rnacentral:rRNA from 1 species
GACGAACGCUGGCGGCGUGCUUAACACAUGCAAGUCGAACGGAAAGGCCCUGCUUUUGUGGGGUGCUCGAGUGGCGAACGGGUGAGUAACACGUGAGUAACCUGCCCUUGACUUUGGGAUAACUUCAGGAAACUGGGGCUAAUACCGGAUAGGAGCUCCUGCUGCAUGGCGGGGGUUGGAAAGUUUCGGCGGUGGGGGAUGGACUGGCGGCUUAUCAGCUUGUUGGUGGGGUAGUGGCUUACCAAGGCUUUGACGGGUAGCCGGCCUGAGAGGGUGACCCGCCCCAUUGGGCCUGGGCUACGGCCCAGCCUCCUCCGGGAGGCAGCAGUGGGGAAUAUUGUACACUGGGCGGAGGCCUGGUGCAGCAACGCCGCGUGGGGGAUGGCGGCCUUCGGGUUGUAAUCCGCUUUCGCCUGUGACGAAGCGUGAGUGACGGUAAUCGGUAAAGACGCCCCGGCUAACUACGUG